rnacentral:rRNA from 1 species
CGGUUGAUCCUGCCGGACCCCACUGCUAUCGGGGUGGGACUAAGGCAUGCUAGUCUGCGUCCUCCGGCAAUGGGGAGGACGCGGCGGACAGCUCCGUAACACGUAGCUAACCUACCCUCAGGACGGGGAUAACCCCGGGAAACUGGGGCUAAUCCCCGAUAGGCGAGAGGGCCUGGAAUGGUCUCUCGCCUAAAGGAUGCGGGAACCAUGCCUUCCCGCAUCGCCUGAGGAUGGGGCUGCGGCCCAUCAGGUAGUUGGUGAGGUAACGGCUCACCAAGCCGAUAACGGGUACGGGCCGUGAGAGCGGGAGCCCGGAGAUGGGCACUGAGACAAGGGCCCAGGCCCUACGGGGCGCAGCAGCCGCGAAACCUCUGCAAUGCGCGCAAGCGCGACAGGGCUACCCCGAGUGCCACCCGCUGAGGGUGGCUUUUCUCCGGUGUAACAAGCCGGAGGAAUAAGGGGAGGGCAAGCCUGGUGUCAGCCGCCGCGGUAAUACCAGCUCCCCGAGUGGUGGGGACGAUUAUUGGGCCUAAAGCGUCCGUAGCCGGUCUGGUAAGUCCCCCGUUAAAUCCAACGAUCUAAUCGUUGGACUGCGGGGGAUACUGCCAGACUAGGGGGCGGGAGAGGCCGACGGUACUCCCGGGGUAGGGGUGAAAU